AACUAACGCUGGCGGCGCGUCUUAAACAUGCAAGUCGAACGGUGAAAAUGAGGCUUCGGCCGAAACACGAGUGGCGAACGGGUGAGUAACACGUAGGUAAUCUACCUUUCAGUGGGGGACAACUCAGGGAAACUUGAGCUAAUACCGCAUAUUCCAUUUGAUCCACGGGUCGAAUGGUGAAAGCCUUCGGGCGCUGAUUGAUGAGCCUGCGUCCUAUUAGCUUGUUGGUGGGGUAAUGGCCCACCAAGGCGACGAUGGGUAGCCGGCCUGAGAGGGUGAUCGGCCACACUGGAACUGAGACACGGUCCAGACUCCUACGGGAGGCAGCAGUUAAGAAUCUUGCGCAAUGGGGGCAACCCUGACGCAGCGACGCCGCGUGAAGGACGAAGGCUCUCGGGUUGUAAACUUCAAUAAACAGGGAAGAAUUUUGACGGUACCUGUUGAUAGCACCGGCUAAAUACG
rnacentral:rRNA from 1 species